AGGUCAUUUCAAAAGGGUGGGAGGGGCUGUGAAACCAAAAGCUCUUACUACUAUGACCAAGGACUGAAGUUUUUCACAAGAUGCCAUAGUCAUUCAAUUUUGUUAUGUUUUGCUGAGCAGAUAUAAAA
rnacentral:snoRNA from 1 species